GUAGCAGGAGUAUGAAAAGUAUAUUUGUUUUCCACACAAAAGGUUCGUGUUUAGGAUUGUUACU
rnacentral:tRNA from 1 species